UGAUAUUGAAAGAAGAGUGAAUGCAGGAAACAUGGUGAAUGGAGCUUUGCACUCCUUUAUGAACAGUCGGGAGGUGUCUAAUAAGGCUCGUUUGGCUGUGCAUGAGGAGGUGUUGGUUCCAACACUUAUGUACGGAAGUGAAAGUUGGAUAUGGCAGAAGAAACAUGAAAGCAGA